UUGUGGCCACUGCACGUUGAAACACCGAUUCUCGUACGAUCACCGAAGUUAAUCAAAGUCGAUCGUGAUCAGUAUAUAGAUGGAUGACCGCUUGGGAAUACCAAGUGCCACAA